rnacentral:lncRNA from 1 species
AUGCAGUCUGACCGGAUUUAUUUUUAACUGGCAAUAUUUGACCGGCUUUUUAGAAGAUGGGUCAACUAUCGAGAUGGGUGUGGGGGGUCCUGCUAUGCCUUACCAUUUCUUCAACUCCAGGUGAGAAUUUGUUUAAAAUAUUUUACAAUGAAGUUGGUAGAGAACAAUUGAUGGUGAUCCAAUUAUAUUACAUCCUAGAAAUGGGAGAACAUUGACUCUAUGUUGGGUUGGCAAAGGUUUUCUUCUGUUCAUGUUCAGUAUCUUCAGACAAUAACCUCAAACAAUAGAUCAGUUUUACAGAGGCAAGCACUAUUCUCUCAUCAGGCCAUAGUUUUGUCUUCGAAGGAAAAACACAGGUGCUGCUCAUAACACUGUAUGGCUCUGUUCCGUGAUGUACCAGGGCACGGGGCAGUAGUGAAGAUAGGUCUAUCUACGCCAAACUAGAUAGGUCUACUAACCGUGUCCUGGUUUAUAAAAGGAGCGGAUCAAUAAAUAGUGAUAGGAGCGACACCGGGGUUCGUCCCACAAUGACACAGGGUCUUUCGUUCUUGUAAAAAGUGCUUCCAUGGAAUGCAUUGUUUUGUAAAACCCAACAGAAACCUAACUCAUGUGGAAAUGUAACUUCAUUCUAUGAUAUGAUAACAUCUCACAAUCAAACCCCUCAGGUUCAUCUGCAGAUUCAGUAGACCCUGUCACAUUAAUCACUACGCCUGUGGCUUUGGCAAUCGAGAUCACCAAUGUGGGCUUCAAUGCCUCCCUUCAGAAUAGGGAAUCAGAGUACUCCAAGAUGUUGGAUGCAGAAGUGGAGACGCUGCUUGAUGGCAUUUACAAAUGUGAAGCAUGCCCAACUAAACUCUUCUACGAAGGUGUUGAAUGCAUAAACUACAGCCAUGGACUGAUAGCUAACGCGUCUAUCAUCUUCAACACAACUUCCAUCGACCCGAGUAUUGUCCGUGCAUUGUUUACAAUAUAUUUAGCAGAAGCCCUACCGCAGACAAGCCUCAAUGUGAACGAGGAAUACACAAGCGGUACAACCUUUAUUUUCACAUAUUUGUUCGUCAACAUCCAUAUCUUUUUCAAAUCACCACAGUUGUAUCCGUGUUCAGUGUUCAAUUACCUUCUCUGUUCUUU